rnacentral:lncRNA from 1 species
ACACAGGGCGGUGGCGGCGGCGGUGGUGGUGAUGGUGACGGUGCUGUGCUACAGAUGGAGUCUGGAUCUGUCACGCAGGCUGGAGUGCAGUCGCGCGAUCUCAGCUCACUGCAACCUAUGCCUCCCAGGUCAAGCGAUUCUCCUGCCUCGGCCUCCCAAGGAACUGGAACCACAGGCGCGCGCCACUGCGCCCAAGGAUUUUCACUUUUAACUGUACAGUGAAGCACAGACUUCUGAGCCAGACUGCUUGGUCUGAACUCUGGUGUCACCACUUAGUAAGUUCUGGUUUGAAUGUACUCACUGAGUGGUCUUCAUAAAUUACCUCUCUGCACUUGAGUCUCCUGUCUGUAAAAUGGGGAUAAUAAUCAUUACAACGAAGCCUCAUAGGAUUCUGGUGGAGACCAAAUGCAUUAAUACAUAUGCAAAGCAUUUGGAACAGCUGGCAUAUAUAAGUGCCAUAUAUCUAUUAUUAAAAAUUUUUAAAUUAUAGAAUGGAUUAAUUUUUGGAUUUUAUAAGCAGAUUCCGCCCCCCGCCCCGCCUUAAAACUGUUAUGAAAAAGCAAGAAAGGCCAGGUGCAGUGGCUCACGCCUGUAAUCCCAGCACUUUGGGAGGCCAAGGUGGGCGGAUCACGAGGUCAGGAGUUCAAGACCAGCCUGGCCAACAUGGUGAAACCCUGUCUCUAGUAAAAACACAAAAAUUAGCUGGGCGUGCGGGCACCUGUAAUCCCAGCUACUUGGGAGGCUGAAGCAGGAGAAUUGCUGCCACUGCGGAGGUUGC